GAGAUUUCUCUGAGCUUGAGGGAGUUUGUGAGAUUGGGGAGAGAGUGAGGGAGAGAACGAGUCUGCUACUGUUCCAUUUUUUCUUUUUUUUCUUUUCUUUAUUUCAUUUUAAAUAGGAUAGGUUUAUUUUGAAAAUACUAAAAAAUUUGUUUAAACUUCCUAAAUUUUAGUUAAUAAAUAUUACACAUUUUCAAUGCACAUUCUGUUGAUAACCCAACAGCCAGGGGGCUGAGUUUUAAUUUUUGGUUCCCCAUCAUUUAUUAGGAUAGUCCAACAGACUCUUUUCUUUAUUCUAAUGUUUAAUCUAAUUUGGUUUAUAUAUUUAAAGUAGCAUCAAAAUAAUAAAUAACCAUGAGUGGUCUGGUGGAGAGGGGUGGUUU
rnacentral:lncRNA from 1 species